UUUAUAUGAGAGUUUGAUCCUGGCUCAGGAUGAACGCUGGCGGCGUGCCUAAUACAUGCAAGUCGAACGAGUUCUGAUUAUUGAAAGGUGCUUGCAUCUUGAUUUAAUUUUGAACGAGUGGCGGACGGGUGAGUAACACGUGGGUAACCUGCCCUUAAGUGGGGGAUAACAUUUGGAAACAGAUGCUAAUACCGCAUAAAUCCAAAAACCGCAUGGUUCUUGGCUGAAAGAUGGCGUAAGCUAUCGCUUUUGGAUGGACCCGCGGCGUAUUAGCUAGUUGGUGAGGUAACGGCUCACCAAGGCAAUGAUACGUAGCCGAACUGAGAGGUUGAUCGGCCACAUUGGGACUGAGACACGGCCCAAACUCCUACGGGAGGCAGCAGUAGGGAAUCUUCCACAAUGGACGCAAGUCUGAUGGAGCAACGCCGCGUGAGUGAAGAAGGCUUUCGGGUCGUAAAACUCUGUUGUUGGAGAAGAAUG
rnacentral:rRNA from 2 species